rnacentral:rRNA from 1 species
AUUGAACGCUGGCGGCAGGCUUAACACAUGCAAGUCGAACGAUGAUUAUCUAGCUUGCUAGAUAUGAUUAGUGGCGGACGGGUGAGUAACAUUUAGGAAUCUGCCUAGUAGUGGGGGAUAGCUCGGGGAAACUCGAAUUAAUACCGCAUACGACCUACGGGUGAAAGGGGGCGCAAGCUCUUGCUAUUAGAUGAGCCUAAAUCAGAUUAGCUAGUUGGUGGGGUAAAGGCCCACCAAGGCGACGAUCUGUAACUGGUCUGAGAGGAUGAUCAGUCACACCGGAACUGAGACACGGUCCGGACUCCUACGGGAGGCAGCAGUGGGGAAUAUUGGACAAUGGGGGCAACCCUGAUCCAGCCAUGCCGCGUGUGUGAAGAAGGCCUUUUGGUUGUAAAGCACUUUAAGCAGGGAGGAGAGGCUAAUGGUUAAUACCCAUUAGAUUAGACGUUACCUGCAGAAUAAGCACCGGCUAACUCUGUGCCAGCAGCCGCGGUAAUACAGAGGGUGCGAGCGUUAAUCGGAAUUACUGGGCGUAAAGCGAGUGUAGGUGGCUCAUUAAGUCACAUGUGAAAUCCCCGGGCUUAACCUGGGAACUGCAUGUGAUACUGGUGGUGCUAGAAUAUGUGAGAGGGAAGUAGAAUUCCAGGUGUAGCGGUGAAAUGCGUAGAGAUCUGGAGGAAUACCGAUGGCGAAGGCAGCUUCCUGGCAUAAUAUUGACACUGAGAUUCGAAAGCGUGGGUAGCAAACAGGAUUAGAUACCCUGGUAGUCCACGCCGUAAACGAUGUCUACUAGCCGUUGGGGUCCUUGAGACUUUAGUGGCGCAGUUAACGCGAUAAGUAGACCGCCUGGGGAGUACGGCCGCAAGGUUAAAACUCAAAUGAAUUGACGGGGGCCCGCACAAGCGGUGGAGCAUGUGGUUUAAUUCGAUGCAACGCGAAGAACCUUACCUGGUCUUGACAUAGUGAGAAUCCUGCAGAGAUGCGGGAGUGCCUUCGGGAAUUCACAUACAGGUGCUGCAUGGCUGUCGUCAGCUCGUGUCGUGAGAUGUUGGGUUAAGUCCCGCAACGAGCGCAACCCUUUUCCUUAUUUGCCAGCGGGUUAAGCCGGGAACUUUAAGGAUACUGCCAGUGACAAACUGGAGGAAGGCGGGGACGACGUCAAGUCAUCAUGGCCCUUACGACCAGGGCUACACACGUGCUACAAUGGUAGGUACAGAGGGUUGCUACACAGCGAUGUGAUGCUAAUCUCAAAAAGCCUAUCGUAGUCCGGAUUGGGGUCUGCAACUCGACUCCAUGAAGUCGGAAUCGCUAGUAAUCGCAGAUCAGAAUGCUGCGGUGAAUACGUUCCCGGGCCU